GUUCAGCUAGCUGCGAUACUGUGGGGACAGUGAAUCAGCCUUAUAGAGAGGCCACUGUGGCAAGAAAGUAAGCCUGCCAGCAACUGAUACUAACUUGCCAGCAUGUAAGUCACCUUGGAAAUGGAUCCACCAGCCCUAGUCAAGCUUUCAGAGCUCAGCCUAUCUCUACAUCCUCUAACAGAGAAAGAUUAUGAGCUGAAAUACAUAUUGCUAACGACAUGGGGAAAUUCUGAGCUUCUUAAACCAUUGACAAAUAAUGUGUACAGCUUGGACUUCCUUUGACAACAGAAUGCUACAUUAAAGACAACACAAAUCUUCUGGCAAUAACUCAAAUUUAACAGGUUGCUGCAGCAAAUUUAUCUUUCUAAACAACCAGUGUGUGAUCCCACAAUAGUAUCAACAGUGCACUGUACUGAGAAUUAGAAUGCUUAUAUUAAAGCUGCUAAUUUGCAGAGGAUUUUGUGGAGAUUAUGAGCUGCUGAAGAACACAUGAUCUUAUGACUUAUUAGAUUUCCAGGACCUAACAGAGAGUAAAAAUUUCUUCAGCAAAUUUAAUUAGCACUUGUCACAAAAGCACAAUGAUUCUGAGUUUCAAUUAAAUGUUCAUUAUUUCCUUGAAUUAUGCAUUUACUCAUCAAUCAAUAAUGUAUUUGAUUAAAUGCUAUGGGACAGU